AUACUUUGGUUUCUCUAGAAAUGGUAUAUAUGUUUUGCCUUUUACUAAAGAUUUUCUUAAAGAAGAACAAUUAUGACUAUCAACUAAUUUUUUUGAUGCCCUCCCCUUAGGAAA
ensembl:snRNA U5 U5 spliceosomal RNA